rnacentral:sRNA from 1 species
UGUUAUUUUACUCAGAUUUUACACCACAUAUGCAAUAUAUUUUCAAGUGUGGUGGUGUUGUGUGUCUUAUAGGAACUUAGCAUAUUUGUCUUGGCGAUAUACGCACUGUGUGAACCCAAUACCUUACAAAAUUCCUUUAUUCGUUGCAUAAAGGCUUUUUAUUAAAGUCAUUUACUAUGCAAUUUUUAAAGAUGUAGUUAGCUUAUAGCUAUGCGCAUUAUACUUUUUAGUAAGCAGUCUGUAUAUUGCUCGGAUUAUCAUAGCCUCCUAGACAUUUCCCAUCUCUCUUAUUCUUGGAUCUAAAGCUUCUAGUGUAUCAAGUGGGCAGGGAUUAGACAGAUUUUUGGGAUUGAGUGCAAGUUAAAAGUAGGGAUUUAUCAUGGGGGCAUGAUCAGCACCGAGCUUGUUCCUUAGCGCAUUUCUUACUCUUCGAGGUUAUCCUCCUAGUCAACUAGAUGUCACUCGCAAGCAUCUGGUGAUUGUGGACAGCCUGGGAAGUUUUUGGAGGUUCUACUCCACCUCCAUAAGUAAAAGGGGUAAACUGAGUAAGAACCAAUUUAAUUGGUGGGUUUUAGGGUUGAAUGCAACUCAGCUUGUAGGAGCCUCUCGAUGGAGACAGGAUCG